UACGUACUGCGCGAACGUUAUUCGGAAUCACUGGGCUUACAGGGUGCGUAGGCGGCUUUUCAGGUCUGGUGUGAAAUCCCCCGGCUCAACCGGGGAAUGGCAUUGGAAACCGAAAGGCUCGAGGUAGCUAGAGGCAUGCGGAACUUCCGGUGGAGCGGUGAAAUGUGUUGAGAUCGGAAGGAACACCAGAGGCGAAAGCGGCAUGCUGGGGCUAUUCUGACGCUGAGGCGCGAAAGCGUGGGGAGCAAACAGG
rnacentral:rRNA from 1 species